GACGAACCGUGCGAGCGUUGUUCGGAUUCACUGGGCUUAAAGGGCGCGUAGGCGGGCGUCCAAGUCAGGGGUGAAAUCUUUCGGCUCAACCGGAAAACUGCCCCUGAUACUGGCCGUCUUGAGGGAGGUAGGGGUCUGUGGAACUUCUGGUGGAGCAGUGAAAUGCGUAGAUAUCAGAAGGAACGCCGGUGGCGAAAGCGACGGACUGGACCGUCUCUGACGCUGAGGCGCGAAAGCUAGGGUAGCGAACGGG
rnacentral:rRNA from 1 species